CAGUCCCUGUUGACUACAAUGUAACCAUGCAUCGGCAGCAUAAAUUGCAGCAGUUCUUAAUCAGUUGAAAAAAACAACCUGAUCAAUCUUGCUUCAGAUUAUGUUUCUAUUGCUAUUGCAGCCUGAGGUCCAUCCCCCGUCACCCCUCCUCUCAAGCCGCUACGGUGGCCUAUAUGUUUUAGCGGGUUCCGUCACGCCGGGCUGCCCCAGUACUUGACCCAGGGUUUGGUGGGCGAGCUCACUACCAUCCUCCCGGUGGUCUUCUUCCUCGCUUGAUUCUUGGGCACCCCAUCUAUUCUGGACGAGCACCUUCCAGUGGUGGGUGAGGAUAUCUGGCACGAACCACGCGCCGAGAGGAUCUCAACUUCUGCUGCCUCUGCACGCCCUAGGCCUAAUCUCACCAAACUUUGCUACACUUCACAUAAUGAGGGAAGGAGGAUGCGUCCAUCGCAACACUCAAGAAAAUCAGAUGACAAGGUGUUUGGAGCAAGCUACUCAUAGCCAACUACAUAGUUUGGUAAAAUGCUGUAUUAAAGCAUUGUAAAUAAAUAACUUAUAUGACCUGCUUUUGGUAUAUAGUACGGAACCUUGAUCUUCAGGUAUUUCAUGCUACAAUUGUUAACAAAUGCACCAAUGGUUUGUAACGAGAUUUGAUGUUUUGAAUUGGACCAUAACUGUUGUAAGUAAAUAUUAUCUUCUGCUUUUUGAGUAAUACUACCAGGUGUUGGAUUGUUAGACUGAAUAAAUA